rnacentral:rRNA from 1 species
GACGGAGGAUGCAAGCGUUAUCCGGAAUGAUUGGGCGUAAAGCGUCCGCAGGUGGCAGUUCAAGUCUGCUGUCAAAGACCGGGGCUUAACUUCGGAAAGGCAGUGGAAACUGAACAGCUAGAGUAUGGUAGGGGCAGAGGGAAUUCCUGGUGUAGCGGUGAAAUGCGUAGAGAUCAGGAAGAACAUCGGUGGCGAAGGCGCUCUGCUGGACCAUAACUGACGCUGAGGUGCGAAAGCGUGGGGAGCAAACAGG